rnacentral:lncRNA from 1 species
CUCGCACAAACACCUGGGGAACUCAUGCAGGCAGGACGGCAGCUUAGACCAUGGUAAUGUCAGCCUCAUUACUUCUGCCCCAAACAAAAAGUCAAAGGGCUGUUCCAUUUGGUUUGGCCACACAACUAAUGAUCGUGCAGAGAGGAAACUGCUGGGUCACCAUAGCUGUCAUCAGUCACUGCAACUGAGGAAAAAUGGACCCAAGAAUUGGAUCCAAAAUAUUUUAAAACUCUCAUCAUUUAAAAAAAACAAGCAAAUAACCCCCUUCCCCUUUUUACUCAUUUUGUCACCUACCUGCAUGCCUUGUAACCCAUGUAAGCCACAACUUGUUUGUUUGUCACAAU